CCUCUAGUCAACCGUAUCCAUCCUUUCAGCUUCGCAGUUGCUUCGCCCCGCACGAAAACCAGUCUGUUUCCUCCUCACACACGAGCAGAGCGGACCUGGCGGGAUUUGUCGGAGUCAGCGUCACAGUGUCGCGAGCGGAGACGGCGAGGCUGAGUCGCGGGCGGCGGCGGUGCAUGAUCUGGCGGCGCGGCGAGCGGGCGUGAUCUGUAAAACUGGUGGGCGGUGCCGUGGUGGUGCGCGAUCCGGGCGGGCUCGACCUGCACGAGUAGCGGGGCUGGCGAGGUAAGUGUUGCAGUCGCCGCCGGCAUCAUAGGGACGUAGGCAGCUGACGCCUCUCGAUGGAGGCAGUGGUGUUUUUUCUAUCAGAUUUGUCCCAGUCUGCUACUCUGGUAUUCACGUCUUAGUUGUCAGCCGAGUGCUAUUUUUCUGCUGCUCAGCUUGCCGAGGUUUUCCCUUGCUCUCCUAAAUCCCCUAUUACUCACAAAUUUUCAUGUUCAGUAUGUGUUUUAGAUUCAUUUCUUGAUCUAUUUCCCUGCUCGCAUGUAUAUCAUCUAUCGCACUUCAGUUUCACCUUCUUUGACUGCUACACUGAACGCAUGUAUAUCACACUGGAGUACUUAAGAUUCAUGUAUUUAAAUAUGUGUGGUCUGGUUAUGUGUAUCACAUUUUACCAUUUGAGUUUCACAUUUGAUUCCUUUCAUUUUCAGUGUGAUACAGAAAUGGUUGGGGCUUUCCAAUUUGGUGCUGAAAUUUAAGCAGCCACUUCAGUUUAGUGCUAUUCGGCACUGAGAUGCAAUGUAACCAAUUACAAAGCUUUAAUUCAUGGUUGACGAAUAUCGCAGAAUGGCGCAUGUUGUGAUUAAUCAAGUCAUCGGCUUUAUAUGUAUUAUUGGGUCAUUUGUGUAGGGUUUAACAUGCCCAUGGGAGUCAAUCACAAAUUUUUCCCUUGCUCUCCUAAAUCCCCUAUUACUCACAAAUUUUCAUGUUCAGUAUGUGUUUUAGAUUCAUUUCUUGAUCUAUUUCCCUGCUCGCAUGUAUAUCAUCUAUCGCACUUCAGUUUCACCUUCUUUGACUGCUACACUGAACGCAUGUAUAUCACACUGGAGUACUUAAGAUUCAUGUAUUUAAAUAUGUGUGGUCUGGUUAUGUGUAUCACAUUUUACCAUUUGAGUUUCACAUUUGAUUCCUUUCAUUUUCAGUGUGAUACAGAAAUGGUUGGGGCUUUCCAAUUUGGUGCUGAAAUUUAAGCAGCCACUUCAAUUUAGUGCUAUUCGGCACUGAGAUGCAAUGGUUUAACAUGCCCAUGGGAGUCAAUCAUGUGAUCAUGUGGCUUUCGUGUUGUUCAGUUCACCACAUUUGAUGGAUGUCCGGGAGUGGUUACGGCUAGAUGGGUUGGUCAAAGAGUUGACAUCAUGAUUAUUUGCUUAUUUUAAUAUCAAACAUUUUGAGGUAUAUUAAUCAUGGAUCAGAUGAAGGUGGAGCAUGGCUAGCCUGCUUGUUUAGCAUAGCUGCCAGGUGCAUCAAAAAAAUCGGGGGCACAGGGUCUCUAAUGCGGAUCCACGGUGUCGCCAACGAGCAAGGUAAAUCCUCUUAGAUUUACAUUUCUGAUCGUCGUCGUGUUUGGAUAUCUACCGUUGAAGCAGAACAUGGGUCUUCUUUUUGGUCGCGGGGCGCGUGCGUCCAGAACGUGCUGGAUUCCCUUGUGUCGGCGCUGCUCAAGGACGAGAAUCGCAAGUUAAUCUAUGUUGAGAAGUAAUCAUCUAUAAAUGGCUAGUUGCAACCGUAUUUUUAGAGAUGGUGGAGGCAGCAGAACGACAUUAUUAAGGGUACGGUGAAGGGGCUUGUCAGCCCCGGACGGUUGGAAUUCAUAAAUAGGGGCAUGUGCAUGCACGACGAGGCGACUGUGUGCUACAUUGACAUGAUCGAUCAAACUACACUGGGGCACAGGUUCAUCAAUGAGGAAUUUAGUCAGAUUCCGAGGAUUGGUUGGCAGAUUGAUCCAUUUGGGCACUCUACAGUUCAGGCUUACCCCCUCGGUGCAGAAACUGCAGGUGCAAGAUUCUGAAUUAUUAAAUGGUAAUAAUCUCAACUUCCGAAGGGGAGCCUUGGCGCAGUGGUAAAGCUGCUGCCUUGUGACCAUGAGGUCACGGGUUCAAGUCCUGGAAACAGCCUCUCUUCCCGGAAGAUUUUGAUGCGCCUACACAGCCAUGACAGUACAUACAGAAAUUCAUUAACUAUUUGUUGCAACAUUCAGCCAAAAUUUGCCCCAACGGGGUGAUGGAUACAAUAUUUUAGCCAAGUUUCUUCUUCAAAGUAUGAUAAAUGAUCUUGAAAAACUGGAACUGGUGUUACUUGCUGCCAUUUAUUUCUCACUGUCAAGGAGGAAUCAGAGUCAAAGAUAAUCAACAUCGACAGUAAGGUCUAAUUGGGUAGAAGACGUCGCUGAUGAACUAGCAUGGCUAGAUCGCAAUCAUGGCUUCUUCGAUUCGUCUAUAGUGUUAUUUCGUUGUGUCACUUUUGUGUGUUCUGUAUAAUGCAAGGCUAAAAGUAAUAAUGCAAUUAUUAUAUCUUUUAACUACUAUCA